UAUUGGGUGCAUGAAUGCCAAGAAAAGUCAAUUAUACCGAUUCCGGGGUGUUCCAAAUUUUAUAUCGUAAAUUCGUUAGGAGAGUUCGCUUUCUCUCUCCAAUUUGACUUGCUUUAUUGUCUAUGCCAAACCAGAACCACCUACGGGACUUCAAUUCGUGUUUAUUAGGAUUUUUCUUCUUUUCAGUUGAAGCUGAUGUGUCAAUAUAUGUGCCAUUUUCUCUUCAACUUUGCUUCCACUUGCAGGUACUGCUUCCGGUUCCGAUCGAACCAUGUUUGCUUCAUUUUAAUGUUUUGUCAUUGAACCAAUAUGCAUGCAUACGUUCAACACAAACUCUCUCUCUGUAAUACCGGUUGUUUAUACCGUACAUCUCUCUGCAACUGUGAACUCAGAUUUAAUUUCAACGUUUUUCUUUUUUCGGUUUGAGUCCUUUUACUUUUCAGCUGCUCUGGAUUUUUAGUGUAUGAAAACUGGAUUUUUAAUUUUAUUUCAUCCACUUAUGUGUCUAUGGAUAUUUUUUUGUUUAAUUUUAUUUUUUUUGUUUUUAAUUCUUU
rnacentral:lncRNA from 1 species